rnacentral:rRNA from 1 species
UUACGUUGCAUAUCAAUAAGCGGAGGAAAAGAAACCAACAGGGAUUGCCUCAGUAGCGGCGAGUGAAGCGGCAAGAGCUCAGAUUUGAAAUCGUGCUUUGCGGCACGAGUUGUAGAUUGCAGGUUGGAGUCUGUGUGGAAGGCGGUGUCCAAGUCCCUUGGAACAGGGCGCCCAGGAGGGUGAGAGCCCCGUGGGAUGCCGGCGGAAGCAGUGAGGCCCUUCUGACGAGUCGAGUUGUUUGGGAAUGCAGCUCCAAGCGGGUGGUAAAUUCCAUCUAAGGCUAAAUACUGGCGAGAGACCGAUAGCGAACAAGUACUGUGAAGGAAAGAUGAAAAGCACUUUGAAAAGAGAGUGAAACAGCACGUGAAAUUGUUGAAAGGGAAGGGUAUUGCGCCCGACAUGGGGAUUGCGCACCGCUGCCUCUCGUGGGCGGCGCUCUGGGCUUUCCCUGGGCCAGCAUCGGUUCUUGCUGCAGGAGAAGGGGUUCUGGAACGUGGCUCUUCGGAGUGUUAUAGCCAGGGCCAGAUGCUGCGUGCGGGGACCGAGGUACUGCGCCCGUGUACGUCACGGGCAGUCGGUUGCCA